rnacentral:rRNA from 1 species
ACACCGCCCGUCGCUUCAUCGAAGUUGGUUUCAGGCGAGGUGGUGCGAUAUUGGCAUUAUCGAACCUGAGAUCAGCAACGAGGGAG